rnacentral:rRNA from 1 species
GAUGAACGCUAGCUACAGGCUUAACACAUGCAAGUCGAGGGGAAACGUCAUCGAAAGCUUGCUUUUGAUGGGCGUCGACCGGCGCACGGGUGAGUAACGCGUAUCCAACCUGCCCAUCACUUGGGAAUAACCUUGCGAAAGUAAGACUAAUACCCAAUGAUAUCCCACGAAGGCAUCGGAAUGGGAUUAAAGAUUUAUCGGUGAUGGAUGGGGAUGCGUCUGAUUAGCUUGUUGGCGGGGUAACGGCCCACCAAGGCAACGAUCAGUAGGGGUUCUGAGAGGAAGGUCCCCCACAUUGGAACUGAGACACGGUCCAAACUCCUACGGGAGGCAGCAGUGAGGAAGAUUGGUCAAUGGGCGAGAGCCUGAACCAGCCAAGUAGCGUGCAGGAAGACGGCCCUAUGGGUUGUAAACUGCUUUUAUAAGGGAAUAAAGUGGGUCACGUGUGACUUUUUGCAUGUACCUUAUGAAUAAGGACCGGCUAAUUCCGUG